UCAUGCUACCAAGACACAACGACCAAUGGACGGUUUCGAAUUUAUACGCUAGGAUGCAUAGACAAACAUCAAUGCGGUACCCACGGGGGCGGUGCAUCCGAACUGGUGGGUCGAGAUUUACAGGAACGCCAAACUGACCAUUGUCAUGAAUGUUGCGGCACUGACGAUUGUAACAAACAUCUCUGCGACCAUCUCAAACCUACAACAUGCAUAGAUGACGUCAAAAUCGACUGUGCUUUCUUGAACACGGUGACAAAUAUUUGUGGAGACAUCCAUCAUGCAAAAACAAUUUGUCCUCGGUUUUGCGACCUCUGCUCUCUCGUUGACGGCAUGUGGUCUUAAUGGACAGCAUGGACCACGUGUGACGUCACAUUUGAAAAUGGAACACAGACACGGACUCGAACUUGUACAAACCCUCCGCCAGCUAACGGGGGAUUAAAUUGUUCCGGCAGCGCAACAGAUAUGAAAGAAUGUCAUAAACAACUUU
rnacentral:lncRNA from 1 species